UUAUUAAUACCCCCAAAAGUAUUCAAUAUUUUAUUAAACAAAUCAUUUUUCCCCCUAAGUAUGGGCGACAGAAAAGAAACAUUCAGAGCCAUAGAAAAAGUACCGCAAGGGAAUGCUGAAAAAGAAGUGAAACAACUCAGUAAAGUUUAAACAAGCAGAGAUUUACACUCGUACCUUUUGCAUCAUGAUUUAGUCAGUAAAAACAAGCAAAAGGCACUUUAGUUUGUCUCCCCGAAACUAAGUGAGCUACUCCAAGACAGCCUAAAAUAGGGCUAACCCGUCUCUGUGGCAAAAGAGUGGGAUGAGCUUAGAGUAGAGGUGACAAACCUACCGAACUUAGUUAUAGCUGGUUGCCUGAGAAAUGAAUAGAAGUUCAGCUUUUUGGUUUCUUCCCCCAAUCUGCUUGACUAUAACCGAACCAAGAAACCAAAAAAGUUAAUUAAAGGGGGUACAGCUCCUUUAAACAAGAUACAACUUCACCAGCCGGGUAAAGAUCACACACAAUCAAGGUAAAAUGUUUUAGUGGGCCUAGAAGCAGCCACCUAUAAGAAAGCGUUAAAGCUCCUUCAUACCCCUACCCCCAAAUUCAGAUAAUACACCCUAAACCCCCUAAUUUUAUCAAGCCGCUCCAUGCUGCCAUGGAAGUGAUUAUGCUAAAAUGAGUAAUAAGAAAAGUCACCUUUUCUCCUUGCACUCGUGUAAAUCGAAACGGACCCCCCAUCGAACAUUAAUCGGCCCCAAAAAAGAGGGCAAUGAAUUAUCAAUCCUAGUGACAAGAAAAGCACUCAAAUAUCAACCGUUAAUCUCACACCAAUAUGCUUACAAGGAAAGACUAAAAGAAAAAGAAGGAACUCGGCAAAUACAAGCCUCGCCUGUUUACCAAAAACAUCGCCUCUUGAAAACUAUACAUAAGAGGUCC
rnacentral:rRNA from 1 species